rnacentral:misc_RNA from 1 species
AUGAGCUGGCUAGGGAUCUUACAAGGGAAACUGCCUGGGAAGCUGUCAUGCGAAUAAGAUGCGGGAAAGGGAUUCGGUUUACAUCUUAUCAUGGGAACUUCAUGCUAAGGUCCACAGAUUUACUAGCACUUCCAGCCGUUGAUUGUGAUAAAGCAUAUGCAAUGCAGUUAUCACUUGAAGAGACAUUGUUGACAACUCAGACAGUUUACUUCCAAGUUGCUUUGCUAUACACUGCAUCUUGUGGAGAGAGGCGUAUCAGAGUACACACAGCAGCAGCUCCAGUGGUUGCAGAUUUGGGGGAGAUGUAUCGCCAGGCUGAUACAGGUGCCAUUGUUUCUUUGUUUUGUCGGUUAGCAAUUGAAAAAACGUUGACCCAUAAGUUGGAAGAUGCACGAAACUCUGUACAGCUAAGGAUUGUAAAAGCUUUAAGAGAAUACCGGAAUCUCUAUGCUGUGCAGCAUCGCUUGGGGGGACGGAUGAUAUAUCCUGAGUCUCUAAAGUUCUUGCCUUUGUAUGGAUUAGCACUUUGUAAAUCAACACCUCUCCGCGGAGGGUAUGCUGAUGUUCAGCUUGAUGAACGUUGUGCUGCGGGAUUUACGAUGAUGGCAUUACCUGUUAAGAAAAUGAUGAAACUUUUAUAUCCUAGCUUGAUUCGGGUGGAUGACCAUCUUUUAAAGCCUUUAGCCAAAGCUGAUGAGUUCAAAAACAUCAUGAGGUUACCACUGACAAUGGAGAGCUUAGAUUCUAGAGGUCUUUAUAUAUAUGAUGAUGGUUUUCGCUUUGUUUUAUGGUUUGGUAGAAUGCUUUCACCUGA